GUUUUUCUCAGCUCAAUUGGUUUUCUCAUCACCUGUUCUUAAAUCUGCCAGCUGCUACAGAGAUUGAGAAUGUUGAGAUGACUAAACAACAAGGACCCUGUGCAUGUGUCUUUGGAGCUGAUAGGAUGGCACAUGGAAAACAAACAGAAAUGACUGGGAACAACUUUGCCACACCAAUGAUUCAGUGUGAUGUACCUGAACGCUGCAUGUGCACACAGGAACUUCAGCUCCAAAAGGAUACUGGCAAUGAAAUGGAAACAGUUUCUCCCUCUAGUUAUAACAGAAUUAUAGCUGUUCCUGUUGCCAUCUCACCUGGAAGCAGCACACGGAGCAACUCUGGCAGCUCCGCUUCGUGACACUGAGC